rnacentral:rRNA from 1 species
GACGAACGCUGGCGGCGCGCUUAACACAUGCAAGUCGAGCGAUGAAAUUUCGACAGAUCCCUUCGGGGUGAAGAUGAAAUGGAUUAGCGGCGGACGGGUGAGUAACACGUGAGUAACCUGCCUUUGACAUUGGGAUAGCCUCGGGAAACUGGGAUUAAUACCAAAUGACACUAACUGAUCACAUGAUCAAUUAGUCAAAGAAAUUCGGUCAAAGAUGGACUCGCGGCUGAUUAGCUAGUUGGUGAGGUAACGGCCCACCAAGGCGACGAUCAGUAGCCGGGCUGAGAGGGUGAUCGGCCACAUUGGAACUGAGACGCGGUCCAAACUCCUACGGGAGGCAGCAGUGGGGAAUAUUGCACAAUGGGGGAAACCCUGAUGCAGCGACGCCGCGUAAGCGAAGAAGGCCUUCGGGUCGUAAAGCUCUUUUAUGAGGGAAGAUAAUGACGGUACCUCAAGAAAAAGCCCCGGCUAACUACGUG